rnacentral:lncRNA from 1 species
UCGUCUUCACUUACAAAACUUGGGGAAGGCAUAAUAAGCUUGUGUAGGGUAUUUGGAGUCCAAUAUGACAAGAUUAGUGUGUAUGACUAAGUAUAAGAAAGUGAAAUGCAACCCGUAUCCUAGCUGCUAAAGUAGAGUAGAUAUAAAACAAAAAAACUCAUAGGGACUUCUUCUCCACUUACAAAACUUGGGUAAGCCAUAAUAAGCUUGUGUAGGGUAUUUGGAGUCCAAUAUGACAAGAUUGGUGUGUAUGACUGAGCAUAAGAAAGUGAAAUGCAACCCGUAUCCUGGCUGCUAAAGUAGAGUAGAUAUAAAACAAAAAAAAAUUCAUAGGGACUUCGUCUUCACUUACAACACUUGGGAAAGCCAUAAUAAGUUUGUGUAUGGUUUUUGGAGUCCAAUAUGACAAGAUUGGUGUGUAUGACUGAGUAUAAGAAAGUGAAAUGCAACCCGGAUCCUGGCUGCUAAAGUAGAGUAGAUAUAAAACAAAAAAACACUCAUAGGGACUUCGUCUUCACUUACAACAUUUGGGAAAGCCAUAAUACGCUUGUGUAUGGUUCGGGGAGUCCAAUAUGACAAGAUUGGUGUGUAUGACUGAGUAUAUGAAAGAGAAAUGCAACCCGGAUCCUGGCUGCUAAAGUAGAGUAGAUACAAAACAAAAAAACUGAUAGGGACUUCGUCUUCACUUACAAAACUUGGGGAAGGCAUAAUAAGCUUGUGUAGGGUAUUUGGAGUCCAAUAUGACAAGAUUAGUGUGUAUGACUGAGUAUAAGAAAGUGAAAUGCAACCCGUAUCCUAGCUGCUAAAGUAGAGUAGAUAUAAAACAAAAAAACUCAUAGGGACUUCGUCCUCACUUACAAAACUUGGGAAAGCCAUAAUAAGCUUGUGUAUGGUUUUUGGAGUCCAAUAUGACAAGACUGGUGUGUAUGACUGAGUGUAAGAAAGUGAAAUGCAACCCGGAUCCUGGCUGCUAAAGUAGAGUAGAUAUAAAACAAAAAAAACUCAUAGGGACUUCGUCCUCACUUACAAAAAUUGGGAAAGCCAUAAUAAGCUUGUGUAUGGUUUUUGGAGUCCAAUAUGACAAGAUU